rnacentral:lncRNA from 1 species
CGCUACAAAAACCUUAAUAUAGUUCUUAUUGGAAAAUCAAAUGUGUCUUCUUCUUCUCCCUGCACGUAUUAGGCCUAGUGGCCUGUUACGAUCUCACACCAUCUGCGAUGAGGUCUAUCAAUGUGUCGUUAAAAAAAUUAAAUGUGUAUAUUUGUUAAAAAACGAGUUUUCUAUUUUUCCCGAAAAUUUCAUUGGAGGAAACAGGUAUAUAUACAGGGUGAUCAGCGAAUGGGCCCUGAUUUAAAAAUUGGGUAUCUCUGCAACAGGGAUCGGUGGAGUUGUGCGGUGGGCUGUGCGUUUAUUGGCAAAACUGUGAAGGUGGUG